UACGUAGGGGGCAAGCGUUGUCCGGAAUCAUUGGGCGUAAAGCGCGUGUAGGCGGUUCGAUAAGUCUGCUGUGAAAGUCCAGGGCUCAACCCUGGGAUGCCGGUGGAUACUGUCGGGCUAGAGUGCGGAAGAGGCGAGUGGAAUUCCCGGUGUAGCGGUGAAAUGCGCAGAUAUCGGGAGGAACACCAAUUGCGAAGGCAGCUCGCUGGGACGUCACUGACGCUGAGACGCGAAAAGCUAGGGGAGCGAACAGG
rnacentral:rRNA from 1 species